UGUAUAUGUGUACUGUUAUAUGAAUUUAGAUGUGUUAUUGAGUCGUAUUUAGUUACUAUUUUAUAUUCAUUUCAUAAUAUUUUUGGGUUGUCUCCUGUGAUUUCAAAUGUAUAUUGACCAACCCUCUGAUCUGUGGCUGAUACUGUAACAGAGAUGUUAUGUUUUUAGCAGAGAUCAGAUGUGAUGUUGUUUUCCAAUUCUUUUUUUUAGAGUGUGCAGAGUUUUUUAACGUCCAUCCAUUGAUGAGGCUAGCAAGACCUUCAAACAACUUCAGCCAAUUGCAACAAAUGUGGUGGAAUUUCUUCUCUGGACAGAAUCCUCGAAACCCUUUCCUUUCGUCCUGGCCAUGGGAAACAUGCAGCAGAUCUCUCAAUCUUUUUUCUCAAUCAGUCUCUCUGAAUACGGAAGUGACUUAAACUGCAAUUCGGCCAAGAUGGCGACGGCACGCACCGCCUACUUUAAGCUUCAAAAAUGCUCUUCACAAACCAAUGGGUGACGUCACAGACACUACUUGCAUAUUUUUUACAGUCUCUGGUUUAAAGGCAUUUUAAGUGCUUAAAAAAAUAAAUACCCCAGGCAAUGUGCUUCUAUGGGAAUUCCUGUAGUCUGUCAUUUUUCAAAUGGAUGAAUCCCCUGCUGUUCGAUUCCUUUGUACAUCUUUGUUCGCGACGAGUAACUUUAAUAAAUGAAGUAUUUUUAGUCAAAUACAUUCCAUUCUGUGAAACUUAAAACAUUUGUUCUUUAAAAAAACUUUACA